UACGGAGGGAGCUAGCGUUAUUCGGAAUUACUGGGCGUAAAGCGCACGUAGGCGGCUUUGUAAGUUAGAGGUGAAAGCCUGGAGCUCAACUCCAGAAUAGCCUUUAAGACUGCAUCGCUUGAAUCCAGGAGAGGUGAGUGGAAUUCCGAGUGUAGAGGUGAAAUCGUAGAUAUUCGGUAAGAACACCAGUGGCGAAGGCGGCUCACUGGACUGGUAUUGACGCUGAGGUGCGAAAGCGUGGGGAGCAAACAGG
rnacentral:rRNA from 1 species